GGUUCCGUAGUGUAGUGGUUAUCACGUUUGCUGUACACGCAAAAGGUCCCCGGUUCGAUCCCGGGCGGAACCA
rnacentral:tRNA from 1 species